rnacentral:rRNA from 1 species
UACGGGGGGGGCAAGCGUUGUUCGGAAUUACUGGGCGUAAAGGGCGCGUAGGCGGUUGGAUAAGUCAGCUGUGAAAACCACGGGCUUAACUCGUGGCCUGCAGUUGAGACUGUCUGGCUUGAGUGUGGGAGAGGAGAGUGGAAUUCCUGGUGUAGCGGUGAAAUGCGUAGAUAUCAGGAGGAACACUGGUGGCGAAGGCGGGUCUCUGGGCCGAUACUGACGCUGAGGAGCGAAAGCGUGGGGAGCGAACAGG